AUGGCCCUGAUUCAGGCCAGAGGUUUGCAAGAGCUGCUGGUUUCAAACAAGAGCCUGAAGACAAAUCUUUCUAGGGCCCGUUGGCCAUUUCAGGACUUUGAAAGUGCAAUGAUCGAUGCAUCAGGAAGAAACAGCU
ensembl:snoRNA